UACGGAGGGUGCGAGCGUUGUCCGGAAUUACUGGGCGUAAAGAGCUCGUAGGUGGUUUGUCGCGUUGUUCGUGAAAACCGGGGGCUUAACCCUCGGCGUGCGGGCGAUACGGGCAGACUUGAGUACUGCAGGGGAGACUGGAAUUCCUGGUGUAGCGGUGGAAUGCGCAGAUAUCGGGAGGAACACCGGUGGCGAAGGCGGUUCUCUGGGCCUGUACUGACGCUGAGGUGCGAAAGCGUGGGGAGCAAACAGG
rnacentral:rRNA from 1 species